GGUUUCUUUUGAGGUUCCCUAUAGAUUAUGGGGUUGAUAGGCCGGAUCUGGAAGCGCUGUGAGGUGUGGAGGUGACCGGUACUAAUACACCGAAAAAAACACAACC
rnacentral:rRNA from 1 species